rnacentral:lncRNA from 1 species
UAAAAUUAAAAUAUAACCGAAAUGUUAAAUCCGAGACCUCCAAGGAAAAAGCCUGCUCGUCCUUGAAAAGAAAACUUGAAGGUGCAGGGUGUCGGAGCAUGAUGGGCCAUGCAACCCAGAGUGGUGAAAGUCUUGGAAGAAAUCCAAGGCACUUCGAGCGGUUCUCUGCUUCCUGCGACCAGGAGUCUAGUUUCGAACUUUUUACCUGACUUUGGAGGGGGGCCCAUGGUGCAGCUCUCCAGCAAAAAGCAUCCUCCUUUUCUCCCAUAAUCCCUUGCAUCCUCAAAGCAGAUUCCAUCCCAGAUAUAACUUAUGCUUGGACACUUUUUUUUUU